CAGCCACGCGGUGGGAGCUGGCUGGGAGGGGUCACAACGGUGUAACGUGKACGCAGCGGUGUGAGGCUGGGGGUGCUGACACGGCGGUCAAAUGUUGGCUUGAUCCUCCGUCUCACCCCCACCCCAGCCUGCAAACGUCCCUGAAAAUGUCCUACACGUAGUUCAGGUUCCCCCCAGGUUCUGGAAGGCACCUGCAGUGUAUUUAUGGGCCCUGCUCCAUCACACUGAGAUGCUCCAUUAGCAGGUGGCUGUACCUCCAUGCUGUGUCAUGUCCAGUCGGAUUCUCUGCUACAUUUGGAGCAUUACCAGCAACUUUAAGCAGCAAGGUUUGAAAGUGGCUCAUGAAGAGAAGACAAGCUGCAAAUUCAGGCUCCAAGAGGAUCCUGCGAUGGCAGCACAGGUUGGGCUGAGGGAGGUGAGGACAAUGCCCCAGGCGUGUCCCUGCUCCCUGCCAGGAGCUGCUCUGUGAAGCCCUGCCGAGCACAUUUCUCAUGUCCUCAUCCAUCAUCCUGUGAUGCAACUGCCUUGGCAAUCAGAGUUUUGUCCUUGCUCUUGGAACACACAGUUACCUCAAAUCUUUGAUAUUUUUCGAGCUGUUACAGUGAUUUCUGAGCUCUCCUCUGUUAGGCCCCACUGCACAGCACAUGGCUGGGCCAUUUAUAUGCUUUAACUAUUCCUGUGUUGUGGAAUGGCAUUUGUGGAUUAUUGGCAGUGUUAGGCUAUAGCAGCUCUUCAGUUACACUCCUGCUGCACUUCCACAAACACUUUAAGCCGGCAUAAGCCAGAGAUGCCGCCCUGCCCUGCACAAAUGUUMCUGCAGCUGCACAUUUAAUUGAUUGGGGAACUGAUUUGGGUUAAAACCAGCCCAGCCAAGAAGCCAAAGCAAAACAUCAGCUUUAAACUCCUUUCUGAACUCCCCUCCUUCCCAGUCUCUCCAAUAUUUAUGCUGGCUUGAAGGUCUGCACCUUCCUGGGGCUGAGACCACAACAAGUGUGUGAAGAAACCAGGAGCUGCUUUUUGUUGCAAGGGCUGGUUUUUAAAGGGCUUGUGGAACUGGAGUUUAAACUGUGGCUCCUUGUUAAACAGGCAGAUAUUCUCCAAGAGGAUUAAUGGGCAUAUUUUUAUGCCCUGACUCCCAAGGCACACCUUGGAGAGAACCCAGGGUGUGACCCUGGACUAAUUUUGUCUCUAUCACCUGCCUGCCUUUAACCAAUUUUCUCUUAGAAACAUCCAAUUGUAUCUUCYCUGAUCCAAACUGUCUCUAAGCAAAACAUGUUUCCACACCCUCGAAAAUAUUUUUCUAUCCUCUCACAGCAGAUACUUUCUGUAUUAGGUAGUUACAGUCAGUAUUUAUGCAACAAAACAAUGGAAGGAAACUCCAGGACUUGGGUGACCUGUGCUUGUCAGUGUUACAAUCCGACACUUGGAGCAGCUCGUUUUCUCCAAAACUCUGCUAAAAUAAUCUGUGAGUUUCACAAGUGGUUUAUCCUUGGAUUACAAGGAAUUACGGAGUUUUGUUCACCACAAAUGACAUUUCUUAUGAUGUUGGGUAUAGAAGCACAGAACUUUCUUUACAGGGAACAGGCAGUUUGUGGGAAUGGGCAGGAAAAGUGACAAUAACCCCCC